rnacentral:sRNA from 12 species
ACUAUGGAGAGUACAAUAACUUAUGAGUAAAUACAUUUUGUAUUGAAAAUAUACUCGUUGAAGUAGUAA